UACAGAGGGUGCAAGCGUUGCUCGGAUUUACUGGGCGUAAAGCGUACGCAGACGGACCAUCAAGUCGGGAGUGAAAGCCCUGGGCUCAACCCAGGAACGGCUUUCGAUACUAGUGGUCUUGAGUUUGGGAGAGGGAAGCGGAAUUCCUGGUGUAGAGGUGUAAUUCGUAGAUAUCAGGAGGAACACCGGCGGCGAAGGCGGCUUCCUGGCCCAAUACUGACGUUCAGGUACGAAAGCGUGGGUAGCAAACAGG
rnacentral:rRNA from 1 species